rnacentral:rRNA from 1 species
UCCGUAGGCGGUCUUUUAAGUCAGUGGUGAAAUCCCAGAGCUCAACUCUGGAACUGCCAUUGAAACUGAAAGACUUGAAUAUGGUUGAGGUAGGCGGAAUACGUUAUGUAGCGGUGAAAUGCAUAGAUAUAACGUAGAACACCAAUUGCGAAGGCAGCUUACUAAACCAUUAUUGACGCUGAUGGACGAAAGCGUGGGGAGCGAACAGGAUUAGAUACCCUGGUAGUC